GGGUCAGUAGGUUGGUCUUGCCACCGGUACGUACUGGUCUCACUGAUUCCUCCUUCCUGAAGAACCGUAAUGCCAUUAAUUUGGUGGUGCGGGGAAACAGGACUGUUACUUUGAAAAAAUUAGAGUGUUUAAAGCAAGCUAACGCUUGAAUACAUUAGCAUGGAAUAAUGAAAUAGGACGAUCGAUCCUAUUUUGUUGGUUUCUAGGAUUGACGUA
rnacentral:rRNA from 1 species